rnacentral:rRNA from 1 species
GAACGCUGGCGGCGUGCCUAACACAUGCAAGUCGAACGGGGUUACUGGCGAGCGGAGAUUCGGUCAAAGCAGCCUUAAUCUAGUGGCGGACGGGUGAGUAACGCGUGGGGAACCUGCCCUGUACUGGGGGAUAACAGUGAGAAAUCACUGCUAAUACCGCAUAAGCGCACAGCAUCGCAUGAUGCAGUGUGAAAAAACUGAGGUGGUACAGGAUGGCUCCGCGUUGGAUUAGCCAGUUGGCGGGGUAACGGCCCACCAAAGCGACGAUCCAUAGCCGGCCUGAGAGGGUGAACGGCCACAUUGGGACUGAGACACGGCCCAGACUCCUACGGGAGGCAGCAGUGGGGAAUAUUGCACAAUGGGGGAAACCCUGAUGCAGCCGACGCCGCGUGAAGGAAGAAGUAUCUCGGUAUGUAAACUUCUAUCAGCAGGGAAGAUGAUGACGGUACCUGACUAAGAAGCCCCGGCUAACUACGUGCCAGCAGCUGC